AUAAUGUCGCAGUCGAAUUAUUCAGACGAGUUUAUUUCAGAUGUCACGCACGUGUAUACACGAUUGUGGACAAAGUUUGCUAACAAAUGAUUGUCAUAAGUAAUUUGUUCACCUUUUCAUUUUUCAAUUUUAUUUUUUAUGAACAUAAAAUAUAUACCACAUUGUCGAGUUUAUAUUUUUAUUUCUAAAAGUUUGCCGCGGGGUCUUUUUUUUCUCU